rnacentral:lncRNA from 1 species
GCACAAUCAUCCUGAUAUGUAUACUAAAAAGAAAACACAAUAAGGCUAUAUUUACCCUCUAUUUUAAGUGUUUACUGUCUACCUGCUCAUCUACUUUUAUCCUAUCUCUCAAUAAACCAUUACAGAUAUGACCACAUAUGGUCGAAUUAUCUAACAUUUUAACACUAUUGUACAUUUUCCAGAAGAACAAUUUCUAGGAAGAGAAUGUAAAGGUGCCGGAAUACUAAUGUUCUAGGGGGCUGGCAUUUCUCCCAGAAGUGUUACAAAUAAACACCUGAACACUUUCUCCUUCAGAACCAGAAGGUUUAAAUAGAAUUCUAUUUAGGUUUUUGAAUUGUGACAUAUGUUAAUCCCAAUGAGAGUCUCUGCGUGAAAGGAAUGUUAGCAGAAUUUUAACAUGGUAUUAUGAGGAUAAUUUGCCACUUUGAGUAAAAAUGCUAUACAUUUUCUGACCUUUGGGAGUUUAAACCUAUAGGAAAGAAGUCAACAAACUAUAGUUUGAUGAUCUGAGACCAACCAUUAUGCAUUAAGAGGAGUGGGAGAGAUUAACAUACACAGUGGAUGUGUAACAAUGACGUAUGUGACAAUUCAAAUAAAUGUGCAGAAUUCUCACUCUGGUGAAGACUGACAGGAUCAUCUACUAAAUACAAAGGAGUUAAAAUUCUCAGAAAGAAAAAUGGAAUUUUUUUGGAAUUCAGCUAGAGACAUGGAUUUGGAAAGAGAAAGAAAAAAUUAGUCUUUGUUUGUUUGUAAUGGCCAGUUGAUAAGAGAAAAGUGAUCCUAGAAAUUAUAGUCCCUGCUACUCAGUCCUGGAGCCACUGAGGGAAAAAUACAACCGAAACUUUCAAUACCUAAUGAAUUUUCUCCAACUUACGAAGCACAAGUAACAACAGCAAUGUGAAAAGAGAAGGUGGAAGCCGACACGGUGCUGACAAGGAAGAAAUGGGCGGACAGAUGUACAAUUCAUUAAGAUAUGCACAUUGCCUCCUACUCUGUAAGAUAUGCUGAGACCACCUGUCUGAAUUAUGCAAGUUAACAGCUUUCCAUAAAUAUAGUUUUACAAAUGCCAUAUAACAUUUUCUUAGCCUUUUUGUACUGAUGAAUUGGAAAUCCAAGAGUUGUAGAGGUUUUUUU